rnacentral:rRNA from 1 species
AACGAACGCUGGCGGCAUGCCUAACACAUGCAAGUCGAACGAGACCUUCGGGUCUAGUGGCGCACGGGUGCGUAACGCGUGGGAACCUGCCCUUAGGUUCGGAAUAACUCCCCGAAAGGGGUGCUAAUACCGGAUAAUGUCUUCGGACCAAAGAUUUAUCUCCUUUGGAUGGGCCCGCGUUUGAUUAGCUAGUUGGUAGGGUAAAAGCCUACCAAGGCGACGAUCCAUAGCUGGUCUGAGAGGAUGAUCAGCCACACUGGGACUGAGACACAGCCCAGAAUCCUACGGGAGGCAGCAGUGGGGAAUAUUGGACAAGGGGCGAAAGCCUGAUCCAGCAAUGCCGCGUGAGUGAUGAAGGCCUUAGGGUUGUAAAGCUCUUUUACCCGGGAUGAUAAUGACAGUACCGGGAGAAUAAGCUCCGGCUAACUCCGUG